UUUUUUUUUUGGUUUUAUUAAAGAUUACGUUUGAAUAUCACCACAAUUUGAUCCCAUAACUUCAGCUAUACAACUAAAAUUCAGUAGUAAGCUAAGGUAUAAAUUACAAGUCUUUAGAUUGACUUGUACUUAUGCGUAUUCGAUUAAUAAUCAUUAUAAUAAAGUAGUCCAAUCUUAAAUUUUAUUAAUAUAUUGCACCUAAUGAGUUUAAGUUUAUAUUAUAGCAGUUAGGGUUUAUCGGUUAUUAUAACAUAUUAUUUGGUGUAUAAAUCAUUAUAGAACAAGUGAGAUAUUUUAUAAAUACAUCAGACAAACAAGACUAACCAAAUUGGUGAACUUAAAUAUAUCGUGUGUUCUUAAUUUUUUGUUCUUCAUAUAAUAUAUGUGUGCUAUUAUUUGUUUUUAAAUUCUAACAAAGAAAGAAAAUAUUUAUUACAAUGGUGACUGGUAAUAUGAUAAAAGUGAAUAUGACUAAUCAAAUCUCUUGUAAUUUAAUAAUAAAUUAUUGGUAUAUAUUAGAGUAUAGGACUAAUAUAUUUCCAUAGUAGUUGUACCAUCUAGGCAAACGAGAUGGUUUUGGGGUUGGGUAAAAGGUGGGCCUCAAUUUAAGAUUCCUCUAUUUGUUGUGGGUUUGUCGUCCUCCUUUUGGGCCCUUAUUUUGGGCUUUGGAAGUAAUAAUCAAUUCAAGAUUCCUCGUUUCAUAAGCAAAAUAAAUGAUAUUUUUGCAAGAUGCUCACAAGAACAUUAAUUAUUUGUUUAUUAUAUUUAAAUUUUUGGGUGUUUUUCUUUGAAUGCAAUUUUUGGGUGUUAAAUGUGCCUUUAUAUUAAAACCGAAAUUAUUACAUGUCUAUCAACUCAUAUUAUUAAAUCAAAUAAAUAAUUAGUAAAUUACCUUUUCUCACCAAGUGAUGACUGGUGAGUGGAGAUUAUAUGUUUUAUGCUUAUGAUGCUACAUUUUUUAUUAUUUUCUAUUAAGUGCGAUUGAGUAAUAAAUUAUAGAAUUUAAUUCAUAUUAUGAAUCUUAUGAUCCACUAUCCACCAUCAUUUGUAUCUUUUAUCAAACUCUUUUUUUAUUGGUCAACUUAGGGUAGAGGCAUAAAUGAAACAAGUCGAGUCGAAUUGAGUAUUGAGUUAUUUCAAAUUUAUAAAAUUUAAAAUAAAAUUUAAUUGAGGCUCGUUUAACUACCAAGUCGAGUUAAUAUGAUCCGAGUAUUAACAGAAAAUUAUAAUUUGAGAAGGUUCGAGUAAUUUAUCGAACUUUAAAAUUUAUUUAUAUUUAAAUUGUUUAUAUUUUGAGUUGAAUUUGAAUCAAAUUUUUAAUCAAACGAGUAAGAUAAGUUCGAACCAUUCGGUUCAUUUUACGGGCUCCAAAAAUAAAAACAAAUUAUUCUUGAGCCACGUGUCCUCCCAAUUGCAGACCCAAAUUGAUUAUUCCAAAACCCCCUCCAAUUCCAUAUGGGAUGUGGAAAUCCGGUCCAUUUUUUUCUCUCAUCCCAUUGGAAAACCAUCUGUUUGACACGUACCCCUUUUUCUCCCAAACAGAGGGAAAAUCCUAAUCCAACGGCUAAGAUAUCGCCACCAAAACCAAACACUCGUCAUUUCCCAAAUCUGCACGUACAAAUAUCCCCUACACGAGUCACUCCAAUUUCCAGGAGAGAAAAAACAAAAGUAGAGAGAGAAAGUCGGAGAAUUUUAAAACCCAAAUUAACCUUCAAUUUCAAACGAUCUAGAGAGUUUUACACCAACCUGAAGGGUAAUUUUGUAUUUUCACUUUUAACCCGUUAGAUAUUUACCUUUUCUCACCUUUUGAAUUAUUAUCAUUUUUUUGUCGUCUUUUUGUUUAAUUUUGAUGAUUUUUCGGGGUUUUUAUUUUAAAAUUUAUUUAUUUUGUAGGAAUUCAGAUUGUGGAGUUGCUAUGAAGGGUCAAAGCAAUGGUGUAAGGGGAUUGUGUUCACCGGAGAGAGGUGGUGGUGCGCAGGAUAAGAACAGUACAAAAAACCCCACUAGUAAUAAUAAUGGUAGGAAUAAAAAUCCUAACGGUGGUAGUGGUGGUGGUGGUUCUGUGUCGUCUGAAACGGCGCAUGAUAGCAAGAAAGGUGGGUCGUCGUCGGGAGGCGAUGCGAUCCCGACGGUGUGGCCACCCAAGUUUGUGAUUGGGUUGACAAACAAAGAGAAAGAGGAGGAUUUUCUGGCUAUUAAGGGCUCCAAGCUUCCUCACAGACCCAAAAAGAGGGCAAAGUUCAUUCAACGCACACUCAAUGUGAGUUUUCUCUCUCUCAUGUAUUUUGACUUUUUGAAUUUAAUUUUUAAAAUUUAAAAAUUCAGAAAUAAUAUGAAUUUAUUUUGUUUUGUCACUAUUAUAUUUUUUGAGUACGUUAUAUAUAUAUAUAUAUAUAUAUAUAUAUAAUUAGUUAUGUCAUAACUACCAUUUGUCUUGUUCAAUUCCGUGAAAGAUUUUUCUUUUUAAUUUUUUUAGUAUUACUUUUUUGGCAAAAUCAUGUAUUUAAAGUUUUAAACUAAGAGAAUAUUUACUACUAUUUUUAAAUCUUAUUCAUUGAGUAUGUAUAUAUUUUGGACGUAUUUCAUACUUAUAAGAAUUGGUAAAGUUUCAAGUCUUUUUUUAGGUAUAUUCUACUCGAGAAAGGAAUCUAUAAAAUCAUUUAUUUUGAAGGUCAAACCGUUGAAGAAAAGCUUAAUCUUAAAAAUCAAAACCAUGAAUAACUAUGUCUACCAUAAUGACUCAAUUUAUUACGAGAGUAAUGUUAGAACUUUCAAAUUUUUACGAUAUUAAAUAUUUUAAUAAUAAUUUAUAGCAUAUUUGAUUACAUGAAAUCUAUUCAAUUUUAUUUUAUGGUGAUAUAUUUGGAAAGUGGUUAGUAUGAAGUUUAUUUUCGGGUAAGUUGGUCAAUUGACCAAUAGAAUAUUUACGUGCAGACGAAUUUAUGUGUGUCAGUAUUCUAUUGGCCAAUUAACCAACUUACCAACAAAAUAACUUCAUGCUAACCAAAUCCAUAUAUUUGAUAAGGUCUAACAAAAGUGAUAUAUUACAUAAUGUUUACAUACACCCACAUACAAACUGUGGACGCUCACUUGACAUGUGGGGUCCGCAGUAUAAUGAGAAUAUUAUGUGAUCAUUUUUUAUGUGAUAGUAUCAUUAGUUGUUUUUUCUUUUGGCCUAGUAUGUAGUGGUCAGAGCAUCUCCAGCAGAUGGACUAUCUACUGGACUAUAUUUAGUCCAUAUAACAUCAUCAAUUGUCCUUUAGUCUUUAAUCUUUCCAGCAGAUAGAUUAUCCGGUAGACUAUAAUAUAAAAAGAUUAAAAUAAUCAAUGAAUAAAUUAAAGAGUUAUUAUCAAUAAAAAAUAAAAAUCAAAUAUAAUAAAAAUAAAAAUUAUUAUUAAUAAAAUACCUACAAUUGUUAAAUAUUGAAAUAGUUAAUUGAAAAAUAUAAAAUGUAUUGAAUUAUUGUACAUAUUUAUAAAUUUUCCAAUUAAUAUUUCAAUUUAUAUUUGUUGCUAUUUUUUAUUAUUCUUUAUUAUUUUUUAUUACUUCUCCUUCAUCUCCUUAUUCAACAUCCAUUCCUCUCAGACUUCUUCUAUCCGUUCGUCUUCUUCUUCACUUUCACUUCUCAGACUUCAUCUCCUUCUUCUUCCUUUGAGAGCUUCUUCUUCUUCAAACAGAGUUUCUUCUUUCUUUUUUUUCUUCAUCCUCUCUCCCAUUUAAUUAUAUUAAAUUUAUAGUCUGCCUAUUUUCUCGUUCGCAGAUUUAGUCUCUUUGAGCCGCCGAAAAAAUAGGUCGACUAAAUAUAGUCCAUCUGCUGGAGUAAAAUUAGUUUCCUAGACUAAAUAUAGUCUACAAAUUUGGCAUCUCCGGCUUGCUGGAGUUGCUCUCAGAAGGCCAACAGGUGGGGUUGUAGAUGUGAGCUUGUCAGCUAAAUCUGAACCGGACACCUGCAUGAACUCAUCAGUCUGUUAUAUUGAAUAGGUGAUUGACCAAUGACCAUUUAACAGCUGUCUUGCUUUUAGUAAUUUUUCAAAAUAUGUCCUACUCUUUAAUCAAAUAAUACCAACCCACGUGAUUAGUAUUUGGUCUGCCUUUUUGAAUUUGAUAAACAAUUUCUUUUGAAAAUGAAAAAGUGUCGCUAUAUAUCUAUAACUACAUUUUUCAUGUUAAAAUAUUAAAAAAUAUUGUACAUAUAUCAAUUUUUUUUUCUUUUUAAUUCUUAUAAAGUUUCAUUUUUUUUGGAUAAAUUUUUUUAUUGAAGGUUGAGAAUGUGCAACUUUUGUACUCCAUCCGUAGUUGAAAAUCGGAAGUAAUAGUAAAUUCGAGGUUGUUACUUAUAGUUAUAGUUAUUGCACUUAUAUUUAAAAACAAAAAUAUAAAUUUUGAAUAUACAUUUUUGUCCUUGUAUUCAUGGGAUGCAUCAAAAGGAAAAAGGGUAAAUGAAUAAUCUCUAUAUUAUUUUUGGGUUGUUCUCUCCAUUCCAGUGGAUCAAUUUUUCUUUUUAUAUUUUGUUAAAAGGCAAAAUGCUAUACCAACGAGCUUUAACUCAAAUGGAAUCAAAAGCAACAGAAAUUCUUUUAGAAGGUGUUCCAGGCUGUUUUGACAUUUUUAGUAGUAGUCUUAGAACUAUUCUACAACCAUUAUACCCUACUUUUCAUGUAUUAAUUGUUUAAAAAUGGAUUCCAUAUUCACUCUACCAGGCCACUAUGAUCAUGAUAGAUCAAUUUUGAAAAUAAAAUAAAAACUUUGAAUGCAUUUUUUUCCUUCAUAUUUGGCAUCAAAACAUGCAUUUAUUGAUCAGAAUUGUUUGCAUAUUUCAUAUUUUUAAGAGUCUCUUGCAUUUACUUGAUAUCCACAGAAACUAGUGAUUUGAUUGUACGAGGUAAAGAAAAUAUCGUUAUUUUUAUUAAGAAGAUGACAAUGUCGAUAACUACUACUCCCUCCGUCCCAUAGUUAUAGGCUGAUUUCUUUUGGCACAUAGUUUAAGAAAAUUAGUUAAGUGACAAUUUUUAACAUAAAUUUUUCACAUAUACCCUUUAAUAUGGAAUUAAUGAAUAAGUUAAUUACUCCUUACUUAUCACACUGGAACUCUUAACUUCAUUGAUUGACGUGUAUUGAACAUUAAAAUCCAUAAACUUUAACCAAAAGAAUACAACAACAUUAAAUGUGGUGAUAAAAAUAAUGACAUUGAAUGUUGUUUUUUCAAAAAAGAGUAAUGUUUGAAUAUUUAUUAUAAGGGCAUAAAAGUAAAAUUUUCUACAUCUUAGUGCUGUAUGUGAUUUUGAUCCAAAUUUGUAAUGAUGAAUUAUUUAGAUAUAAACAGAUAGAUAUGCAUGAUGUCCAAUUUUUCAAAUGGUGUGGCUAAAUACACAGUUAAAUUAUCAUAUAUAUUAAUUUUUUUGUCAUUUAGAUUGAUGUUCUUCAUUUGGUCUAUGUUAUAUCACACGCAGUUGGUUAGCCCGGGUGCAUGGCUAUGUGAUCUGACCCUAGACCGAUACGAGGUCAUGGAGAAGAAGGUCGCUAAGAAGGUAAACAUGAAAAAACAAAUGGUAUAUACCUUGAUUUCUUUUAAUUUUACAUCGAAUCUCCCAUUCAUAAUUAAUUUUUUUCAAUUUUGUUAAGAGUUAAUUUAUAUAUAUCUCGAGGUUAUGUUAAAUAAAUACUCCAUCUGCAGAGACCUAGAGGGCUAAAGGCUAUGGGAAACAUGGAAUCAGACUCUGAAUAAAGAAAAAAACAUGGUAUAGAUAGCAACAAGAUUAGUGUUGUUAAUGAGAAAGGAGGUGAAGAUGCAUGGGGGAUGUAUAUUUUCUCUUCGAUCUGUGUAGGUUUUUAGCAUUUCUGCAAAAAAUGUGCACCAUCAUCAAUUCAUUGUUUUGCACCUUAUAAAGAUAUCCACAACAAAAAAUGACAUUUUUACAUGAAAAUCGUUGCUAUAGGUCCUAUAGCGAUGAUUUUCACCGUCGUUGUACAUCUAUAGCGACAUUUUUUAUGUGCAAAUAUCAAAAAAUGUUGUGGAAAUAUCAAUUUCAAUGUAUAAAAGUUUUAUCCUUUUCCUCUUUGGCCUUCAAGAGGAGGUGUACCCUCUUGUUUUUGGUUGGUUUGGGCUGGGGAGGGUUCACAUACAAUAUAAUAGUUUGUCUUCGGCCUUUAAGAGGUAAACAUACACUUUACUUCUCUAGCAAAUGAAAGCAAAAAGGCUUCAAUUUAUUGUCUCAAUUCACUCUCUCAAAAAUAUCUUCAUUAGCAGUAAUUUAGAACCAUUACAUGACAAAUUAUUCUAUAUAGUUUGAUGUGAAACUGUGUUGUUACGAGAGCAUAUCCUCUGUCCUCAAUUUUUUUCUAUGUGUCCCCCCACUUUAAUUUUGACAUAUAAUCUCUUACUUAACACCAAUUAAUUCUAAAAUUAAAUAAAAUGACAAGUGUCAAAAUUGAAGUGGGGGGACAGGGAAAUUGGGUACAGAUGAUUUGCUCUCGUGUUGUUACAAUAUCUUUCACAUUUUUGGUAUGAUAUUUUAAGGGUGGUGUUAGGGUUUUUAAAUUUUUUGUUUUAAAAAGUGUCUCAAAUGACAUGUCAUAUUAAUAUUAAUUGAGUAGAUUUUAUUUGUAUGUCAUAUAUUAUUAUUAAAAUAUUUAAAAUCAUGUCAUUUGAGACCUUAAUAUUAUUUUAUUUUAAUAUAUUUAAAAUUGACAUUCGAUAACUUGAUUAAGUUUACUUCGAUACAAAAAAAAUUAACUUAAAAUUUUAAAUCAGUAUAUAGAGUAAAAAAAAAGAAGACAACAUUUAAAAAUAUCAAUGACAAUCCGAAAUUUAAGAUUUAAUGUCGAAUAGAAAAGUGAAGGAAAUGGAAUGGAGAGUGGGAUGGGUGCCAUUUCAGCUGAGAUGAGUCAUUAAAAUUCACAAAUUUGGUAGUAAGAAGAAUGAUUUAUUCAAUUUUUAAAAAAAGAAAAAAUGCAAUUUUUUUUCGUAAUAAGAAUGAGUCAAACUAUUCUCAUAUUUAUUCCUGCAAUUCAAACGUAAUAUCGAUCCGGAUUUGGAUCCUUUAUGAGGAUUUUUCUGUAAAGAUCUUGUGAGAGUUUUGCUGUGGGUUGAUAACACAUCAAAAAAGAGAUCUAAUGACUCACAACUCUUUUCCUUGUUUGUGUAUCAAAACGACGUCGUUUUGAUAUAAUUUUUUUUUACAAGUUGACAGAAAAUUGGAAGCCACCAAAUGCUGUUUACUUCGUUUGUUUGCUUCGUUUUUCUGUUUUCUUCUCCUUUCCUUCUUUGCUUCGUUUCUUGUUCUUCUCAGAGCACGCCAAGGUUUAGAUUAGCCAAAUUUCAAUUGGAUUUUUUUUCUCCUUAUUCAAAAUUUUCCCAGCUCAAUUUUUUAAUAGGAUAAAAAAUGUCCGUUGGAUUUAUUUUUUUGAAGAGCAAAGAAUAAUAUUAUUAGCUUUUGACAAAAAUAUAAAGAUUAAUAAUCCUAUCGAUUCCAAAAAAUAAAUGAUUAAUAAUUAUAAAACGUCCCAACUAACCCAUUACAAUCAUGAAAUAAGUCAUGCCGCUCAUAACUAACCAGAAUUAGCAAACAAACGAAGUCAACUUGCAAAAAAAAUUCAUGUCAAAACGAUAUCAUUUUGAUACACAGAUAAAGAAAAGAGUUGUGCGCUAUUGAAUCUCCUUUUUAAUGUAUUGUUAAUUCUACAGCUAAACCCUCACAAGAUCCUUACGGAAAAAUUCUCAUAGUAUCCGGAUCCAGCAUAAGAGAUAAAUUAAUAAAAACAUUGUACAGAAACCACCAUCCCAUACUGAGAUAUGUCAAAAAAUAAUAAUAUCAACUAGCAAGUGUAGUUAAAACAAUUAAUUUUAAAAGUUCAGUAUCAGUAAAAUGACCGAUAAAACAAUUAAUUUUAUUGUUAUAACACUAAGAAUCGUUUAAAGUUAAGUAUCACUAUAUAUAUAUAUAUAUAUAUAUAUAUAUAUAUAUAUAUAUAUAUAUAUAUAUAUAUAUAUAUANNNNNNNNNNNNNNNNNNNNNNNNNNNNNNNNNNNNNNNNNNNNNNNNNNNNNNNNNNNNNNNNNNNNNNNNNNNNNNNNNNNNNNNNNNNNNNNNNNNNCUAUAGCGACGAUUUUCAUAUAAAAAUAUCAAAAAAAUUAUAUGAAAAUAUCAAUUUUCUAAAUUAAUAGUUAAAAUUUAAGGGAUAGCUUUGUCUUAAAAAAUUAUCCAAUAUGACCAGUUGACGGUAAUCUCAGUUAUCACCAUUUUUUGGUUAUACGUUUCUCUGAAUUUCAAAUCUCAAACUCUUUCAGCACAGAAAUGACAGUCUCUCAUUCCACAGCUACAUUAAUAAUAAUUCAUAUUAAUAUAGUAAUAAUAAUAUAAAUUAUUAUUACUAUAUUAAUAUUAAUAUUAAUACUAAUACUAAUAAUAUGAAUAUGAAUAUUAAUACUAAUACUAAUAAUAUGAAUAUUAAUAUUCAUAAUCAUAUUAUGAAUAUAUACUAAUAAUAAUUCUAAGUUCAUUGGGACUUUAUGCAUGCAUGCCUUCGUAAAAGCUUGCCGGUACAGCUUGUUUCAUCAGGACUUUAUUUUUUUAUUUUGUGUCUAUCCUUGCCGCAAGAGCCUAUUGUGGCAGAUGAAGAAUUAAAGGGCUCAACACUUAGUUUUGUACGGACAGGGAAUAGAGGGGCAAUUGGGACAAUAGCCUUGUCGAUCUUGCUGCCGCAAGAGUUUGUUGUGGCAGGUGUGAUCUUGAUUUUAAUAUGGGUCAUUCAUUAUCGAGAUCAACAGUUAAAAUCAUGGUUGUUAGAAUAGUGUCCAUAAUAACUGGUUGACACGGAUAAGGACCCUAUAUAUAUAUAUAUAUAUAUAUAUAUAUAUAUAUAUAUAUAUAUAUAUAUAUAUAUAGUCCGGAUCAGGUAAGGACUCUCUCACGGUAUUAAAAUGCGAAUUUUUUAUGGCUUUUUUUUAAAACAAUUAAAAAAAAUAUUAAUAUUUUAUUGAACUGUAAUUUUUCCAUAAUACAGUGUUUUGGAUGUGAUUUGGAUACAUAUAACAAUAUAGGUCAGUACAGACUGUAAAGACCUGUUUUGUUAUAUGUAUCCAAAUCACACCCAAAACAAUGUAUUCUGAAAAAAUUCAAGUUAUAUAAAAUAUUACUUUUUUUUUAAUUGUUUUAAAAAAAAGCAAUAAAAAAUUCCGUAUUUUAAGAAAAUGCGGGAGUCCUCACCUGAUCAUCUCUGUAUAUAUAUAUAUAUAUAGAGAGAGAGAGAAAGGAUAAAACAUGUUUAUACAUCAUUUGAGACCUUAAUAUUAUUUUAUUUUAAUAUAUUUAAAAUUGACCUUCGAUAACUUGAUUAAGUUUACUUCGGUACAAAAAAAAUUAACUUUAAAUAUUAAAUCAGUAUAAAGAGUAAAAAAAAAAGACAACAUUUAAAAAUAUCAAUGACAAUCCAAAAUUUAAGAUUUAAUGUCGAAUAGAAAAGCGAACGAAAUGGAAUGGAGAGUGAAAUGGGUGCCAUUUCAACUGAGAUGAGUCAUUAAAAUUCACAAAUUUGGUAGAAAUAAGAAUGAUUCAUUCAAUUUUAAAAAAAAGAAAAAAGACAAAAAAAAAUUCAUAAUAAGAAUGAGUCAAACUAUUCUCACAUUUAUUUCUGCAAUCCAAACGUAGCAUAAGAGGAUUUCUUUGUGAAAAUCGUGUGAGAGUUUUGCUGUGGGGUUGACAACAAAGCAAAAAGGAGAUCCAAUGGCUCACAACUCUUUUCUUUGUUUGUGUAUCAAAACGACGUCGUUUUGAUAGGAAAUUUUUUUUACAAGUGGACAGAAAAUUGAAAGCCACCAAACGCCGUUUACUUAGUUUGUUUGCUUCGUUUUUCUGUUUUCUUCUCCUUUCCUUCUUUUCUUUGCUUCGUUUGAAGGCCAUUUUUUACAUGUUCAUAUCAAAUAGAUACUAUGGAUGAUUGCCCAUAUAUAUAUAUAUAUAUAUAUAUAUAUAUAUAUAUAGGGUCCUUAUCCGUGUCAACCAGUUAUUAUGGACACUAUUCUAACAACCAUGAUUUUAACUGUUGAUCUCGAUAAUGAAUGACCCAUAUUAAAAUCAAGAUCACACCUGCCACAACAAACUCUUGCGGCAGCAAGAUCGACAAGGCUAUUGUCCCAAUUGCCCCUCUAUUCCCUGUCCGUACAAAACUAAGUGUUGAGCCCUUUAAUUCUUCAUCUGCCACAAUAGGCUCUUGCGGCAAGGAUAGACACAAAAUAAAAAAAUAAAGUCCUGAUGAAACAAGCUGUACCGGCAAGCUUUUACGAAGGCAUGCAUGCAUAAAGUCCCAAUGAACUUAGAAUUAUUAUUAGUAUAUAUUCAUAAUAUGAUUAUGAAUAUUAAUAUUCAUAUUAUUAGUAUUAGUAUUAAUAUUCAUAUUCAUAUUAUUAGUAUUAGUAUUAAUAUUAAUAUUAAUAUAGUAAUAAUAAUUUAUAUUAUUAUUACUAUAUUAAUAUGAAUUAUUAUUAAUGUAGCUGUGGAAUGAGAGACUGUCAUUUCUGUGCUGAAAGAGUUUGAGAUUUGAAAUUCAGAGAAACGUAUAACCAAAAAAUGGUGAUAACUGAGAUUACCGUCAACUGGUCAUAUUGGAUAAUUUUUUAAGACAAAGCUAUCCCUUAAAUUUUAACUAUUAAUUUAGAAAAUUGAUAUUUUCAUAUAAUUUUUUUGAUAUUUUUAUAUGAAAAUCGUCGCUAUAGAUCUUACAUCGAUAAUUUUUACCAUCGCUAUAUACAUCUAUAGCGACACUUUUCAUGUGAAAAUACCAAAAAAUCAUGUGAAAAUAUCAAUUUCUUUAAUUUAACAAUGUGAACCAAAUUCAAUGUCUAAUAUUAAAUUUUUAUAGUAAAUGUUCAGUCACUACACCAAAAAUGGUCUCUAGUGAAGGGCAAAUAUUUUCUUCGCUAAGUAGUAACUAAAUUUUUUUUGUGAAGGAUAUAUUGUGAAUAACUUUUUUAUUCACAAAUUGUAAUUGGUAAUGGAAUAUUGUUAUUUAGUGAAAGAUUGAUUUCCUUCAUAAAUAAUAUUUUAAGGACUAUUUAAAAUUAGUGAAUAACUUUAUUUCCUCACAAAUAAUAUAUUAUGAAGAACAAAUUUAUUUAACGAGAGAAAAUUUUUCUUCACUAAUUAUAAAUUAAGAAUGUAUCUUUAAAUUAGUGAGGGAAAUAAUCUUUCAUUGAUGACUAACUAGUUAACUAAAAAAGAUUUUAGUGAGGGAAAUAAUCCUUCAUUAAUGUUCAUUUCUUCAUUAUAAUAUCUCAUUAAAAUAUAAAUAACAAAAAUGUGCACAUAAAUUUUAUAUAUACUAAAUGAGAAACUAAUUAUUAUAUCAUUUCAAAAGUAUAUAAUGUAUACAAAGCUAGUAUAGCCAAUAUACACACUAAAAUUACAAGACUUGUUACUAAAAGCAAGUGCCAUAUCACCUACAAUAUGUAUCCACAUAUAUUACACAAUGAAAAAAAACUCGAGCUAUAAAGCGUAGUAAUUGUUAGCUCCUCAUUAUUUUCGUUUUCAAGUAAGUCAAAGUUGAGCCUUUAACUUCAUUUUUCAAGAAAAGUAUCAAAACCCUUUCAAUACUGCAAGAAAAGUAUCAAACCCCAAUUUUACAAACAUGAAUAACAAAAGAUUUACUAACAAAACUUAAAUUAAGCUACGAGUUACUCUAAAAGAUUAGUUAUUAGAGAACGAAUCCAAUAACGUAUAUUAUAUGAUUUUAACACUCCCUCCCACAGUGACCAUCCUCUAUCAGGCAGAGCACACUACAUUGUAAUGCACAUAACAACAAGAGGAAAUUAAACGAGCAGAUUCAACUUAAAGUUGUUGCCAAGAUUGUAAAGGUGCAUUUCAAAUUUGAAGUUUCAAAAUUAGUUGUCCAUGGAAAGGUCAUAAAUAAUAACUGAGUUCCAGAUCUAAAGCAUUCCUUCAUAGUGUAACUGUAACAUUAGGGCAAAAUUAAGAUUGCAAUAGAGCACGAAUGCACCGAAUCAAUUAGUAAGAUUAAACGUACAUAUGAUGUGGGACUCCAUAAGGUCUGCUUAGUAUCACAUAUACACACGCACAAAGAAAAGUUACGCCUAUAGAAACAUACAUUAGACAUACAACAAAAUUCGUGGGGAUAGGAAGGAAAAUAAGAUAAUACAUAAUAUACCUGAAAGAGAUCACAAAACUAGUUACAGGUUUCUUUUAGCUCCUAAUUUUAUUUAUUCAAUUUUACGGGAUUUAGAUCAAAGCUUCUAAUUGGUAUAUAUUUCUGCAAUUUCUUUCUAAAUAAGUUUGACUGUGGCAUGUUCAUGAUCAAAUAUUGUGACUUCUAUAGCAGAGAUGUGGGACUCUGUUUUAAUCAGGUACUCCAUGUAUAAUUUUGUUUGUGUUUAUCUUCUUUUGGUAACAGGAAAAGUUUUAAAGUUUAAAUUGCUAUCAUUUGAAUUUUUUUAACAUGUUAACUAAACUAUCAAGCAUGAAGGUCCUGGACACCGAAUCCUAUGCUGUUACAAAAUAUUGAAUCAGGUAGAAACAGACAGGAAAAUACAAAGGAAGUUUGCGAGUUUAUUCUGAUGCAAUAUUCAGAACCUAAUCCUUGACAUCUUCCUAGUUGGAGUAUGCAACUGCUUCAAUGUUGCUACGCUUUCUCUUGGUUAUUUUGUUUUGUUUUUGUUGGGGGGAGUAGGGGGGUUGACAAUGUCUUUUUGCAAUCUGGGCUGUUUAGGUAGGCCUAGUUGGGAGAAAAAAAUGAUCUUUUUCCGGUUUAUGGAGUUAACUUUGAUUCUUAAUUAACUAUCUCUAGGAUAGGCUAGGAAGAAAGGCUAGGGAAGAAACAUAAGGUUAAUUAUAAAAUUCACGAGCCUCCUAGUGCUGGGUGUGUGNNNNNNNNNNNNNNNNNNNNNNNNNNNNNNNNNNNNNNNNNNNNNNNNNNNNNNNNNNNNNNNNNNNNNNNNNNNNNNNNNNNNNNNNNNNNNNNNNNNNGAUAUAUAUAUAUAUAUAUAUAUAUAUAUAUAAAUGGAAACAAAAAAAAAUAAUUAUGUAAAAGAAGGGAAAAACAGUUUACAAGACAAAACCACAUACAGGUACAUGAGUGCUUAAGAAGUGUUCAUCAGCAUAUUUUUUUUGGGAACCAUCUCCCCGCACACUUUACAUUUUUCCAGAUUCCGGGAGCAGUGAGCAUAGUGCAAGUCAAUAUUUGAAGAAGGAAUGUCUCUGUCGCUGGAUACAUAAAAAAUUAUGUUAAUCAGCAAACAGUUGCUACUUGCUAGGUUAGACAAUUAAAAAUGCCUACUUCAAAGACAAAUUAAAUUUGCAGAACCAAUGCAGAGAAAUAAAUAGGCUGAAGCUCAAACUCUUGAUAAUAAUCCAGCUAAACUUCAUUUAUCAAUUGCUUCAAUAUACAUAAUCCAAAUAAUUCAAGCUAAAAUUCCUUUGAGACUCAAGAAAUAAACUGUGUGACCUCCAAACUUUACUUUAAGAUAAACACACUAUCAAAGUCUUAGAAAGGUAUGGAACCCUAGACUAACCAUGAGGAGGACAAGGACCCCUUGACUAAAGUAAUACACUCUGACUGAAGGAGAAUGGGAAAAGACAGCUAAAGUACAGCCAAGGAUCCAAAGUUCCAAACACAAGAAUAGUAACCAAUCUUGCACAUCAAGCACUAUUUAGCAAUGUUAACUUAAUGCAAGGAGGUGAGAGGGUAAAUCUUUCGUAUGUUCUUUUUGCAGUUUUGCUACUAAAAAAAUUGUAGAAGAUGUCUCUUGAUUUUACCAGUUGUUUCACUCAGAAAUGAUCGGUACCAAUAUUACGGACUAGGAUUACCUGAGUAGUGGAGCGAGCAACCCCAUCCCAUUUGUUGAAAAUGCUUCUGCUGUUUUCUGUCCACACUCCAUAAUCCGUCCUGUGGUCCAGAUAGGAAACAAUAAUAUUGCUGAUAUUCCAAUUAAUUGAAAUAAGGAAUUGAUUUUUUUUAAUAUUUAUUUUGGGGUUUGGAGUGAGGGUGGUUUAGCAAAAUCAAAACCUAGUGCUUACCCUACAACAAAGAAUGCAUAACCAUCUAAGUGGUAGCUCUGAACAGUACUAUCACCAUUUUGUAGUAUGAUUUCCAUAAAUCCUCUGUAACUACCAUUAAUUAAAGAAGUGUCAACUUUUGCAGGUCUGUUCAUCAGUCUAUAGGGGAAAUCAAGCUUGUAAACCCCAGGAAUGUUAAAUUGCUGAGCAAGCUUCAGUGGUGUUGAAGGUGAAAAGUGUGAAAUACCGUUGAGAGUAGCACGCCAUUUUCCCAUCUAUAAGCUCAGCAGGCCUAUUGAGAAUCACAUAGACAUCUGUUACAGUAAUCUGACAAUAUCUGAAAGAUCCUUGAGGAUUUGGACGAGCAGCACCAGCAGAAACAAUCCAUCUGCAGAAUACCAAACACAAUCAUGUAAACAAUAGUCAGACCAAAAUUAUGAGAGCAUCCAAAAUUUACCCCCAUAAACAGAUAAUCAAUUUUCAAGACAAUGAACUGCAAAGGAAACAAACAUGGUCAGAAACCUUCUUUCUGAUUCUGAAGCUAAGAUGCAGCAUCAUUUGCCUCCCCUCCUAAUGAAAUUGGUAACUUACAGCAGUUGAAAGAGAUAUCUACCCCAUUAUUCAUUUAUAAACUUCAAUUUCAGGAAUCUGGACAUCUUUGUAAUACUUCAAAAGUUUAGAAGUUUUUUAUGGGGAUAAUAUGCCGUGUUACACCAAUCUAAGGAGAGGCCUCAAGAAGAUUUCUAAUAUAAUAUAGAAAGAUAAUUCUUUCACUACAACCUUAUGGAUCUUGCUUGAUUCACUGAGAAAAAUCUGUCAUAUUCAUUAGGGGAAUCUGGAAGAGGACCUGAAGCAGGCCCUUGAGAAUUGGAGUAGUGCAAGAUGGCUAUGCCUUUAGCUCUAGUCCAAGCAGAGGAAUUGACAAACCACGAACUGGCAACGAUGUGGUAGCAUUUUGAUCCAUUGUGACCAGAAACGAAUAUGACUGGCCAACAUGAAUAUCCAUGUUUGCAUAGUUUUGCUGCACGGUGUAUGACCCUUCAGUCUCUACAAGAAGCAAGUUAUGAUUUUGGAUUCUGAAAUUCAAACUAGUAGCAAUACCAACAUUGUGCACUCGAAGGUGAUAUGUUUUUCCUGUUACAUGUAAACUAACCAAUUAUUAUUCAUUAUUUGAGCUGCAAUAGUUUUAACUGACUACAUGAUAUCAACAACACAUUUAAGGCAAGUUCUGUAAAUAAAUAGGAAAUUAUAUAAUUCAGUAAUUCAAUAUAUACCUGCAUAUAUAAUCGUCAAUUCUGGGGCAGUGAAACAAUGUUUCAAAUACAUAAGAAAUACAUAAUUGCGCAUUUUUUAUAGAAGGUGACGAAGAUUAUAAGAUGUAGGGUUUAUAGUGUCAACAACGGUAGCAUUUAGUGUGUUUGCCACCGCACCACAACUAGUGUAGUCUAUUUUUGAGUUCUGAAUGUUGCAUUUAUAAUAAGUUGUUUGUAAAUGAACGAUAUUUUCAAGUUCAAGCACACUAAACCCUCAAUAUGCCAAAGCAUUUACAAAAAGUAACAUUGAUUUGAAAAAAUAACAAGAGUAUAAUGUUCUGAACCUGAAGUUUAGGUAUAAUUUUCAGAUAUUCCUGGACACUUUUAUCGCGAAAAUCAGGCUCUUCUAUAAGAACAAUAUCAUUUGUCAAAAUACCAUAUUCUCUAGUAAUUACCUUAGCAGUAUGAACAUUAUCACCAGUAACUAUCCGAACCAUAAUUUCAGCAUCCAAACAAGUUUUUACAGCUUCUUUCACCUCAGGGCGCACCAAAUCCUAUUAAUUCCAACAAUCGCUAGAAGUGUGUAACUAUUAUCCAAAAUAUUUUCCACGUUAUUAUUACUAUUUCCCAUAUUCUUAUAAGCUAAACAAAGUGUUCUUAACGCUUCAAAAGCGUUCUUUGGCGGCGAAUCCCUUUAAACCUCCAUGUGUAUCCAAACUCUAAACAUUAUGAGAGCAAUUAAUGUAUGCAAGUUCAUCCUGUUCAAUUUCAAAUCCAGCUUUACUGACCUCGUCAGAGCAUGGAUUAAAUACUAAUCGCUAUACAAGAUAAACAUAGAAUUAAAAUUUUAAAUUUUUUUUAAGGCAAAUGAACAAUAUAAUGUGAAGAAUUUUAGUAAAUAUCAUACCAUCAAUGAAAUGUAAUGCAGCCCUUUGUACGUAUAGAGCUAUAUGGAUCUUUUCUUAUAAAAAAAUGAUAGCAACAAUAGUAUUUCUAAACAAAAAUGUUGGAUAUAUGUGUGUGUGUGUGUGUCUGUGUUUGUGUGACAAGUUUUUAAGGACAAUGUUAUUUUGUACUUUUGUUUUUAAAUUUUCUAUUCUUUGGUGCACGAAGUAAAUGAAAAACAGAAUGAUGAACUUAUAUUAGAGAUGGAGAGUUUUUUAAAAUACUCAAUUACUCAUCACUGAAACUUACCUUUUUAGGCUGCAGGUUGAUCUCGACAUGACGAUUAGUAUAGUCUUUAUUGAGAAAAUGAAGAUAGUGGACAAUAAAUUAUCAAACUAUUAGGAAAUGGGAACUAAGUUGUAACAUUUUUGUUUUCAUAAGUAAAUCAAACUGAACCACAGCAUAUUCCCACAUGAAACUUGGGUAAACAAAGUACCCAAACAAGCAGAAUGCAAACAAAUAACAAAUAAUCACGUAUAACUUAAGCAUAAAAAUGUAAAUUCUUACUCCGUAUAACAUUAAUCAAGCAAACAUACCAUGAUAUGGCAUAGGGUCAUAUGAUUGAACAACUAUAAAUCACUACUCAAAAGUCAGCCAGAAAGUGUAUUGACUUAGGGCUUUAGAAUGCAAAAAAAAGUUACAAUUUAAUGAACCAUUUCCUUGUUGUGCAAAUGGGAGCACCACGUAUCACUUAAUUGUUUAUCACGAAAGGUGAAAAAUGAAAAUAACCAUUUAUGUUGAAAAGAAGGGAUUUUUUACAUCACAAUCACAAACCACGCCCAUGAAAUAAAUAAUAGACCCAGGAAGGCCCAAAUUGAGAUGAGUAUACCAAAACAACUGUUGAGCUUUUAUAGUGUAGUUUGAUUUCAAAUAAAGUAAUAAACUAAAUAGAACCACUCGCUGGUUAUACCGUGAAUAGGAAAAUGGCGACAAUAGCCUGAACCGCUUGUUGGAGAAGAGCACCUUUGACUACCGUCUUCUUCGAUACUGAAUUCUUAUCAUCUUCAUCCUUCUUCGAAUGCAACCUAUAAUUCUCAAGAGAUCCAAACAUUAAAUAUAUACCUGAAUAUGCCCAAUACACCACAAGCCGCCAUUACAAAUUAGUAAUCAAAUACAGAUACAGUAGUAUCACAAUCUAUUAAUCUAUAAUUAAUUAAACAUUGAAUACCAUUUUGUUGAGAAAUAAUUGGGUGCAUUAUUGCUAUUGGAUUGAGAAAAAUACAAUUAAAUAAAAGGAUGAAGAUCGACUUACUAUUAAUAAACGUGAGGAAUAUGGGCUAUCUUGUACCAUUCUGGGCCACUUUCUUGAGCACAUCUUUCUUUGAGAAGUUUACAAUCUUGAAUCUGCAGACUGUUCAAGUUUGUGAGGCGUUUCAUUGCUUCCAAUGUGGGCAUCCUAACAAAAUUUCGGCAUCGCCAAAGCAUCAGAUGUCGAAGAGACGAGAGAUUUCCUAGCCAAUCAGGGAGAGCCUCCAGCCCGUCAAAUCUUUCCAACGUUAAUCGAGUCAAUCUGGCAUAAGAGGAGAGGUGUUGUAGUUGCUCAGGUAGCGACUUGAGCUUUGGCCAUCCGAUCAGAUGUAGAUCAUUUAGGGAGGAAACAGAAGAGAAGGGCCACGGAAAAUGAUCAAGGUCCGCAAGGAAGGGACCUAUUGUCAAUCCCUCAAGUCCGAUUAAACUUGUGGAAGAUGGAAAAUCAGGCAAGGCAUCCCAGUCUGCAAGGCGUAACCUUCUUAAAGAUUUGUUGUUUCCCAAAAACUUGACAACUAUAGACGAGUUGAACUCUAUGGAGCCUCCUUUGAUUCUAUCCAGGUGUAGAUAGGUGAGAGAGUUCAAUUUGGUACAUAUCUUUUCUAGCGCAACGCUGUUCAUUCCAUCAAUUAUUAAUUCCUUUAGGGAUGGAAAAUGACUAGGAAGAAUCAUCAAAUUAUCACACUCCCGAAUAAGUAACGAUUCAAGGAAUGGAAACGACUUGGGAUCAUGCAGUACUGUGUCUGCUUCCAUCCAUUCCUCUAACAUUGUCAUUCCCCACAGUGUGACUUCUCUCAAUGAUGAAAAUGUUUUUGCAUCACCAUGGCCACAGUAAAAUUCUUUCCCAAUACGCUUUACAUUACGCAUAUUAUCUAUAUAAACGGACUUGAGAUUAGGAAGGUGCCCAAGUGGUGGAAUUCCUUCACAUCUGUUGCAGUUUCUCAGGCAGAUAUCCACCAAGUUUUCAAGUACUACAGAUAACCGACUUUCGGUAAUCAUCCAAGAUGCAAACUUCUUGCCUUUGAAGUUUUCAACAUUCAACUUUUUCAAAUAUGCUGGAGGUUCAAGACCUUCCAAGACAUCCUCAUCAUUGUACUCCAAAUUAUCAUGACCCACAGGUUUCCAGUGAAACUCCAAAUGUUGGAUUUUUGAUUUUUUCGAUAAAUUUGCCUUGCUGGCAUCUCCCAUGUUUGUCACUUCUUCAAGGCCAUAUAUACUCAAACCACCUUUAAGAUUGUUCAAACCUCCCAGAUUCUCAAUACGAAAUUUCUUAUCUGGACCAACCACAAAGAAUGUCAACGUUUGUAGACAAGUCAACCGCUGUAGAUCAAUCAACAUACCAUCCAUAUUCGAUGAGCCGCUGAAUAAAGGAGCUGAAUGUAUAUGUCUCAUAUUAAUUAAGUUCCCAAACUUUUUGGGGAGCUUCCAUAGACGUCCAAAUCUUAGGGUCUGCAAGUUGUACAACUUCGUGAUGGAAUCUGGCAACUCUUGGAUUGCGGUGUAUUGGAUGUCAAGAUAUCUCAAAUAUUUUAACUGUCCUACCGAGCUUGGUAACUUUGUAAUAGGAUAACUAUCAAGAACCAAGACAGUUAAGUUUGUGAGAUUAGGUAUCAUGUUGCCAAGGAUACCACCACCCGUCAAAUUUAGUGUUUGUACACUCUCAAAGCUUCCUUUUGAUAUUUUCGGUUUUAUAUCCUCGGCCCCUUUCAACCACACAUGCUCUGCCUCACAAACAUGGUUCACCUCACUAGCCUCCAGAGUUUUGCAAUAAUUUCUUGAUGCGUCUAGUGCAAGGUCAUGAACAAGAUCGUGCAUCUUACAACCAAUGAUAUUGCCGUAUGCAUCCUCUACUACAUCUUGUAGCAAAUAAUUCCCCAACAAAGUGCUAAAAUACUCGUUGCCUAUAUCCUCAAUCGCCAAAUCACUUCCUCUAGGAGGCUGAAGCAGCCCUAAGGCCAUCCAAAUUUGGAUUAACUUAUCCUUCUUUAUGUCAAAAUCUUUAGGAAAAGUAGCACAAUAUGCAAAACAGUGUUUCAAAGAUGAAGAAGACAAAUUGUUGUAUGUUAGCUUUAAGGAAGGCAAGACAUCUCUUAUGAGCCAUGUUUCACUAUUUUGGAUCGACAACCAAUCCUGUUCAGACUUCUUUGAGUACAAUAAACCCCCUAGUGCCUUUAUCGCUAAUGGCAGGCCGCCACACCUUUCCACCAUCCGUCUACCCAUGGACUCCAAAUUAUCAUUCUCCACUACUCCAUCCUGUCGAAAUGUUAUUUGCUUAAAUAGUUGCCAACUAUCAUCUUCCGAUAGUCCGAGCAACAUAUGAGUAAACACUUGAUAAGUAGGAGAAAUUUGCAUGGUUGAAACAACUUCAUCCUUGCGAGUAGUCACCAUAAUUUUGCUUCCCUUGGCACCACCUACAUCUACCAAACAACUUCUCAUGCAAUCCCAUUUUUCUGAAUUUUGGUUCCAGACAUCAUCAAGUACAAGUAAAAAGGUUUCCCCCUUUAUAUUUUCUUGAAGUUUUUUUAUGGCCGCUUCCUGAUUUGAAAAUCGAGGAUUGGUUCCGGUGAGAGACUGAACCAUCUCGUUUAAAACCCUGAUGACAUCAAAAUCAUCAGAUAUAGUAACCCAGAUUUUUUUCUGGAAAAAGCUCAUCACCUCAUCACUUUUAUAAACCAAACGAGCAAGAGUUGUCUUCCCCAAGCCUCCCAAUCCCACCACAGCAAUGACAGAUAAAUCCUUUUCAUUAUUUUCACACAACAGCUUAACAACCCUUGAUAUAUCAUCAUCCCUUCCCACUAUCUGCGUCUUAUCUAUCGAGGGUGGGGUGUGUCGGAUUUCACUACGUUGGACAGUGGCAUUUAGAUGCUCUACAGCCCUAAGUCCGAUCUCUUGUGCCCAUUUGUAAAUUUUGUCCAAGGAUAUAUUAAUAUUCUUGAUCUUAUGAGACAUCUUGAAACGAUAUAAAAUGCUGUUUUUGGAUCGAAAAAUGAAGUCACGUACCUUUCGUUCCUCUACCCUUCUUCGAAGAACUUCGUAAUUGAGCUCCUCCAUUAGAGCAUCAGCAACACGGGCUACAUCUUUGAGCUUCUUCAGCCAGAGUUGGACGGCCUCCACUGUCACUUGCUUGCUAUCAGCAUAAGACAACAGCGCGUCCACCAAUUCCAAUCUUUGACGCAGUGCUUGGAGAUUUUCCUCAAGACCCCAUGCCUGGAUCAACUCUUCAGCUGCAAGCGAAAGAAUCUUGCGGAGGAGUCCGCUUGCAAGAUCAGCCGCAAAUGCAUCAACCAUCUUCUUUCCUUAAUUUCUCUGCUGAUAUCAAGAAAUGGGUAUGGUUGGUGAGAGUGAGUUUCUUCUUUUUCCCUGCUUCAGGCUUAAGAGUAAUGGAUGUGAGAAUUAAUGAAGAUUCGUGGCUGCAAAUUGGCCUUGAAAAGGAAUGCUUGACUCGCCUUUUCACCAAGUCCUCCUCAACCAUCAUGGCGGCCUCCACGUCCAAUUCACCAUUUGAAAAUUCAAUUGCAUGAAAUAUUAACCUUGGAGAAAGUAAGUAUGAAACUAAGCAACUAUAUUAAAAUAAGAGUAAAAAAAAUAUGAGUACUUUAAAACUAGAGAUAUAUUUUUGUUUUGAGAUAUAAAAUAUCAUAAAAUAGGUGAAACAAUGUAUUAAAACCAGAUCCGGUUAACAUGAAGUUUAUUUUUUUGGUAAGUUAUUUAAUUGACCAACGUAAAGAAGGUGAGCUGCACGUUAGUAUUCUAUCAACCAAUUUACCCAAAAAUAAACUUCAUCCUAAACACUCCCAUUAAAACCAGCCGGUUGAAUGUUCAUGUAUGUCCUUUAUUCAAGAAAGUUGAGAGAUGGACGGUGGAGAUUGAAAGGAAGAAGGAUGCCUUUUUUGACCAAUUUAAUAUCAAGUCUCCACUUGAGCAUUCACAUGGUAUUGUCAUUGUCAUAAUAGACACCGCAAAUAAAGGACAAACCCAUUGCUACAAUAAUGCAAGUUAACUAGCCAUUGCUAUAAGCCUACAAUAAUAUGCCUAGUUAACUAGGCAUUCCACCUAACCAUGAUUUAAAGUUGCGUUAUAUAUUUUGAAACCUCUAUUUUUUUAUUCGACAUAGGUUUUGAUAUUGGUUUCGGGUGUACUGACAGUUAAUUAUUUAGGAACUUUAUAUUUUUUAUUAAAAAAUUGAAUAAUAAGUAUAACGAGAUGGAUCAAUUAAUUUUACAAAAAAAAUACUGUCUAGCGCAUAUAAUAUUGUCAAAACAAUAAAUCAGACAUCUCCCAGAUAUGUUUGAUCCAUAUUACGUUUGAAUAAAGUUGAUAUUGAUAUUAUCUUAGCUCAAAUAGCUGAGCAUAAAUGUUCUACAUAAUUUAAGUACAAUUUAACUUCAUAUUUUAAGUGUAAUUUCUUUCGGAGUUGUUCUUAAAUAGGUACUAUAUAGGUAUCAUUUAAGUGUAAUUUAUGUAUAAUUUAACUUAACUAAUUAUAUAUUAAGUACUUUUUUUAUGUUAUACAUAACUAGGUGUUAUACAUGUACAAUUUAACUAAAGUAACUAUAUUUUAAGUACAAUAUUUUUUUUCAAUUUUUGUAAGUAAUACUUAAUUAGAUAUUAUAUAGGUACAAUCUAAGUAUAAUUUAUUCUUCUCUUAUGUUGUCUCUCUUUAUACUUUUUAGUAAAGCUAUAAACGAGCCAAACGGUGCUCAACUCGAAAAAAUACGAGCGAGCGAGACUCGAAUUUGUUAAUAAUAUGAUCAAAUUUGAGCAUUAAAAAUAAUUCGAAUAAAAAUAUGAGUAGAAUCUGAGCAAAGUUAUACUCGACUCAUUUAAAAUUCAAAAUACUCGAAUUAUUGAUUGUGAUUCGAUACAUAAUCGAUUGAUACAUAUUGGAUUAGAUAUUUAAUACAUUCUCUUAUAAUAUAUACAAAUUUAAAUCAAAUUAGGAUAAUUAAUUAUUAUUAUUUUGUUUUGUUUUUAAUUUUACUUGUGAUUUUAUAUUUGUAAAGUGUAAUAGUAAAUAUAUUUUCUCAUUGCAAAGUAAAAUAACAAAUUCAAUUUAUAAUUUUAUUUAUUAUAAAAUUAGUUAUUAUGUGAAGACUCGAAUUUGAGUUUGAAUUUGAAACUCGCGAGUAAUUUGUGUGACGCCCCCAAAAUAGGUAUACACAACUCAUUCUGAGUCGCCAAAUAUAUGGUACAGAAUACAAAUACAAACUUAAUUAUACAACUGUCGUGUAAUAUAAACUGAAAGUUUUAACACGCAUAUUGUCUCAUAGACAAUAUCCAAACUCAAAUAGAGUCUUCAUUACAAUUAUUAUCACACUAUUUCACAGAAUAGUGAGAACUACUAUAACAACCAUCUGGACCGUUACUCCAUUUCCCGACUAGUCCCAAUUAUAUUCUCAUUUCCUGAAAAAAACAAUGAAAGAAAAAUGUGAGCUCAACUAGCCCAAUAAAUAAUAUUACGACUAAGAUAAUGCAGAAUAAAUUAUCGUUAACCUUCAACAGUGUUAAACUGAUAGAAUAUAAUAGACAACAAGUUUAACUGCAGCAAAACAAACAAUUCAUUGAAAAUACACACCUAUUAAAAAAAUAUUAAUCUUCAAUUUACUCAUCUUAACUAUUUUAUUAUCAUCCAUUUUGUUUUAUUUAAUCUCCUAACUUUUCUUGAAACAACAAAAUAGAGAAGAAAGGAGAAAAAAAAAUAUGAUUAUGCUUCUAAUAUCAAAAUUAAUAAUGUUAUUUUUUUAAUAUAUGUCAUGUUAUUUUUAAUGUUUUUUUAAAAAUUUAAUAAGAGUAAUAUUGAAAAAAUAAGAUUAAAAAUAAAUUUAAAUAAACCAAAAAAACAAUUAAAAUAAAUAAACUUAAUCAGAGAAAGUAAUUUGUUACCCAAUAAAAUUACAUUAAAUUCUAUUUUAAAAUUAAAAAUAUAAUUUGACAUUAAAGUCAAACGAUUUUAAACUUUAAAUUAGUAUAAAUUUAUUUAAUUUUAAUUAAUAUAAUUAUUAUAACAAAAAUUAUUAAUCAUAAAUUUAUUUCAUUCACUUUUAUGUGUUAUUUUAAUUUUAUAAUUUAAUAUACAUAUCUCUAAUUUGAAAUGGGAGUUCAUACUAACAUAUAGAUUAUCAUAAAAUCAACUUCAUAAUAAAAUAAUUAAUUGACCAAUAUAAAAUAUAAUGCUCCAAUUAUUAUAAAAUUAACCUAAUAAUAAAAUAAUUAAUUUACCAAUCUAUAUAAUUCUAUAUAAUAAAAUACAAAUAAUUUUAAAUUUUCCGUUAGCCGGCUGAUAUAUAAUAUAGCGAUUACACGCAAAGGAACAACUCCCGACCUAAAUGUGCCACUGUACCCUAAUAGAUCUAGAUUUAUAUGAAACAUCCGAGACACAUUAUAGAAAAUCAGUGCACAAAACAUAGUAUAUUCAAUACAAACACAGCAAAACAUAGCAGUAAAGGUAUCAAACAGCACAAAUAGGAAAUGAAUUACUAGAACUACUAUUAAAUAAAUGGCUAUCAAAUCUAGAUCUGAAACCAAAAACCAAACCAAAUCAUAAAUCUCUAGAUACAUGUAUAUACUCUAUAAGAUCGUCAUCAUCAUCAUCAUCAUCAGUGGUCACAAACCGACUAGCUGAUAAGAAAAAACUACUCUCUUCUCUUCAGAACUUGAGUGCAGAUCCGAAGAGGAAAGCGACGAACGUGAAAGCACAACCGACGGCGAACGACGGAGAAACAGAUAUUGCCGAAGACGUAGGGCUCGGAGCCGGAGCCGGAGCAUCGGAUGCUACAGAGGUUCCGACGAGGGAGAAGACGGUGGCGAUCACCGCCAUUAGAGGAAUUAAGGUAGCUGUGGAAUGAGAGACUGCCAUUUCUCUGCUGAAAGAGUUUGAGAUCU
rnacentral:lncRNA from 1 species